UACGUAGGCGGGCGCGCAGGCGUCGUGUGAAAGCCCUCAGCUCAACUGAGGAACUGCACGGCGAACCGCGCGUCUUGAGACAAGUAGGGGCGGUCGGAACGAUAGGUGGAGUGGUGAAAUGCGUUGAUAUCUAUCGGAAUGCCGAAGGAGAAAUCAGGCCGCUGGGCUUGUUCUGACGCUGAGGUAGAAAGCGUGGGGAGCGAACG
rnacentral:rRNA from 1 species